AGGGAAUACUGGGAAAGGGACUCUGAAUAGACGUAACACAAUCUCUAGAAGCUGUCCACAAUUAGAGGGACAGGCUCUCAGCAGCCAAGAACGCCAGGGAACGGACUGAGCAGCUCAGUUCACGCCCAGGCUUGGUCAGAAUGAGGUGCAUCUGGCAGCGAGCAACUGACGCCGACAACUUGUUACGCACUCUGAGACUGUUGUUGAACCUUAUCGCAACCAGCUUCACUCGGCUGUAAAUACUCAGCGUCUGGGCUGAGAGACCAACUAGCAAUUGAAUAGAACAGGACGCCUUUGUGAAGAUUCCAGAACCCAGGAGUGAGGCUGAAGCAUACCCUUGGAUCGCAGAAACUAAGAAAAACUGCAUUAGAAGGAUGGGCAUGGCAAUCUUGGAAUUCUUGUGUUGAAGGUGGAGCCACGGAGGGAAGGAAUCUUGAGUCUCCAAGUCAUCACUUAGAGGAGAGCUGCCAGCCAGUGAAGAAAAUCUCUUUUGGACUUUAUACAAGUAAGAAAUAAACCUCUCUUAUGCUUGAGUGGUAACUCAGCUUUGCA